ACUCUCUCAACCUUUCUCUUCCUCUUCGGAGGAAGGGCUUAGGGUUGGAUUUGGACGUCUGCCGCGAGGUCGGUCUCUCGCGGCUCGUCUUGAAAUGCAUUAGCUGGUCCGCCUCGGUUCAACAACGGUGUGAUAAGAAACGCUUCGUGACUGUGGCGCCGUUGUAAGCCGACCUUAGGAGGAUCGCUUCUAAUCGUCUUCGGACAGCACCCUACGUC
rnacentral:misc_RNA from 1 species